AUGAACGCUGGCGGCGUGCCUAAUACAUGCCAGUCGAGCGAACGGACGAGAAGCUUGCUUCUCUGAUGUUAGCGGCGGACGGGUGAGUAACACGUGGAUAACCUACCUAUAAGACUGGGAUAACUUCGGGAAACCGGAGCUAAUACCGGAUAAUAUUUUGAACCGCAUGGUUCAAAAGUGAAAGACGGUCUUGCUGUCACUUAUAGAUGGAUCCGCGCUGCAUUAGCUAGUUGGUAAGGUAACGGCUUACCAAGGCAACGAUGCAUAGCCGACCUCAGAGGGUGAUCGGCCACACUGGAACUGAGACACGGUCCAGACUCCUACGGGAGGCAGCAGUAGGGAAUCUUCCGCAAUGGGCGAAAGCCUGACGGAGCAACGCCGCGUGAGUGAUGAAGGUCUUCGGAUCGUAAAACUCUGUUAUUAGGGAAGAACAUAUGUGUAAGUAACUGUGCACAUCUUGACGGUACCUAAUCAGAAAGCCACGGCUAACUACGUG
rnacentral:rRNA from 1 species